UACAGAGGUCUCAAGCGUUGUUCGGAUUCAUUGGGCGUAAAGGGUGCGUAGGUGGCGCCGUAAGUCAGGUGUGAAAUUUCGGAGCUCAACUCCGAAACUGCAUUUUGAUACUGCGGUGCUUGAGGACUGGAGAGGAGACUGGAAUUCACGGUGUAGCAGUGAAAUGCGUAGAUAUCGUGAGGAAGACCAGUGGCGAAGGCGGGUCUCUGGACAGUUCCUGACACUGAGGCACGAAGGCCAGGGGGAGCAAACGGG
rnacentral:rRNA from 1 species